AUGCUGGGUCUCCUUGCCAUCCUGUGCACUCUCCUGUUUCCCGGUGGUGGAGCAGGGCUCAAGCUGGAUCAGCCUGCUUUGGUGGUGGUGCGCUUGCCCCUGGAGAGCUCAGCCACCCUGCAAUGCAAAGUAGACACCUCCGUCAGCUAUGUCCACUGGUACCGCCACCAGGAGGGUACGGCCCCCAAGAGGCUCCUCUACCUAGACAUGUCCAGGUCCUAUGUGCAGAGGGAUUUUCCCAUGAAAGCAGACAAAGUCAAUGCCAAGAAGGGCAGGGAGAGCAACAGCUGUAUUCUGUCGGUGCUGAAGCUGGAGAAGCGUGACGAGGGCGUGUACUACUGCGCUGCCUGGCAAGAGCACAGCCCUUCUUGGCAGUUUAAGGUGUUUGGUCCUGGCACAUUGCUCAGGAUUACAGAUAAAAGUCCUCAUGAAGACAUCUACCCCAAGCCCACAAUUUUUCUUCCUUCAGUUGCUGAAAUAAAAAUCCAUAAGGCUGGAACAUACCUUUGUCUUCUUGAGGAUUUUUUCCCUGACAUUAUCAAGAUAGAUUGGCAAGAAAAGGAUGGCAAAACAAUUCUGAAAUCCCAGCAGGGAGACACUAUGAAGACUAAGGACACAUACAUGAAAUUCAGCUGGCUGACUGUGACUGAAGCAUCAAUGGAUAAAGAACACAAAUGUAUCGUCAACCAUGAGAGUGAUAAAGCAAAGGUUAAUCAAGAGAUUCUUUUUCCUUCAAUAAACAAAGAUUUGGUGGCAGCGAUGGAAUCCGAAGUGGACUCCCAGGGGCCUUCAGAGACAAAGCAAAACACAGAGGUGGUAACUGUGAGCCCUUUGAGUUCACAAUCCUUCUCACCUGUUCCAGGGGCUGUGGAGCUCACUGUUAUUGACUCCACAAAAGAUUCUCUGAAUGAUGAAAACAACACUCUGCAGCUGCAACUCAUGAACACCUCUGCCUAUUACACCUACCUCCUCCUCCUUGUGAAGAGCCUGGUCUACUCCACCAUCAUCGCCAUCUGUCUGCUCGGGAGACCAGCACCCUAUGGCAAUGGGAAGAGUUCCUAACACAUGGUGGCACCAAAGUUCCACUUCUUCCCACUGGCUAUUGUCCCUAAAAGUGUCUGCUAGUGAUCUAGUGUGGCUCCUUUCUGAGAUUGGGUUAUUUCAGUUCACAUGUGUCUUUUUCUACUGUGUCAUUACUGAAGAACAUGUUUACAAACCACUGGGAAAACAGAAACUUUCACUCUACAGCAAGAACAAAUGCUGCCAUGACUCAGGGGUGAGACCAGGGGGUCACAGGGGCUUUAGCACCACUCUCUCCUUAAUGUCCACCAGUUCCUCAGCCACCCAGUCCCCAAGCCUCUGAGUACAGAAGCAUGCAGUCCCUUGGAGGAUUACCUGGAAGCCUUUUAUUUUACAUACCUGGAAGCCACCAUCCUUGCUACCUGAAGCUUGUACUGUUUUUCAUAA